UGCAACUCUGGAUGAUUUAUGUGGGACAUGAUAAAACCAAUCUCCACACAGGCUAAUUUGAGACCUGGCAUCAUUGUCUCUCUCUGAACAAUCUGGAAGCUUUUUUAUGGUAGUGAAUUGCUCAUUUGGGGUGCGAGGAUUGAAGCAGGCAAGUGUCUGGGUCAUUAUGUGCUCAUCCAUGUCUUACAUAGGUGUUUGGAUUUGUAUAGCACUGGUUAAUCUGUAAUGUGUUUUAAUUUAGAGACAUAAAUGCUGGCCAGAAUUCUAUGCUUUAAUUAAAUAGUGUCAAGGGAUUGAUCACAGCAUAUUGAUCCAUAACUGAACAUUUUAUCCACGAAGUCACAGGUCCAGUGA
rnacentral:lncRNA from 1 species